GCAGCCACAAAGACCAGGGAGGUUUUCCAAUGCCUCGCAAAGACCAGGGAGGUUUUCCAAUGCCUCGCAAAGACCAGGGAGGUUUUCCAAUGCCUCGCAAAGACCAGGGAGGUUUUCCAAUGCCUCGCAAAGACCAGGGAGGUUUUCCAAUGCCUCGCAAAGACCAGGGAGGUUUUCCAAUGCCUCGCAAAGACCAGGGAGGUUUUCCAAUGCCUCGCAAAGACCAGGGAGGUUUUCCAAUGCCUCGCAAAGACCAGGGAGGUUUUCCAAUGCCUCGCAAAGACCAGGGAGGUUUUCCAAUGCCUCGCAAAGAC